GAGUUUGAUCGUGGCUCAGAUUGAACGCUGGCGGCAUGCCUUACACAUGCAAGUCGAACGGCAGCAUGAUCUAGCUUGCUAGAUUGAUGGCGAGUGGCGAACGGGUGAGUAAUACAUCGGAACGUGCCCUGUAGUGGGGGAUAACUAGUCGAAAGAUUAGCUAAUACCGCAUACGACCUGAGGGUGAAAGUGGGGGACCGCAAGGCCUCAUGCUAUAGGAGCGGCCGAUGUCUGAUUAGCUAGUUGGUGGGGUAAAGGCCCGACCAAGGCGACGAUCAGUAGCUGGUCUGAGAGGACGAUCAGCCACACUGGGACUGAGACACGGCCCAGACUCCUACGGGAGGCAGCAGUGGGGAAGUUUUGGUACAAUGGGCGAAAGCCUGAUCCAGCAAUGCCGCGUGUGUGAAGAAGGCCUCGGUUGUAAG
rnacentral:rRNA from 1 species